GACGAACGCUGGCGGCGUGCUUAACACAUGCAAGUCGAACGGUGAAGCGCCUUCCUUUUUGGUGGGUGUGGAUGAGUGGCGAACGGGUGAGUAACACGUGAGUAACCUGCCCCCUUCUUCUGGAUAACCGCAUGAAAGUGUGGCUAAUACGGGAUAUUCUGGGUCUGUCGCAUGAUGGGUCUGGGAAAGAUAUUGUUUCGGUGGGGGAUGGGCUCGCGGCCUAUCAGCUUGUUGGUGGGGUGAUGGCCUACCAAGGCGGUGACGGGUAGCCGGCCUGAGAGGGUGGACGGUCACACUGGGACUGAGACACGGCCCAGACUCCUACGGGAGGCUGCAGUGGGGAAUAUUGCACAAUGGGCGCAAGCCUGAUGCAGCGACGCCGCGUGAGGGAUGGAGGCCUUCGGGUUGUGAACCUCUUUCGCCAGUGAAGCAGGCCUGCCUCGUUUGUGGGUGGGUUGACGGUAGCUGGAUAAGAAGCGCCGGCUAACUACGUG
rnacentral:rRNA from 1 species